GUAAGAAAUAUUUAUAUUAUUGUAAGGAAUUUACAUAUAUUCCUAUAAAUAUUCCUUCUCAUAAAAUGGUCUAUAGGAAACUCAAGAGUUGGAUAACUUACCCGAUUAAUUCUGAUGGACAAUUAAUCAAUGGGUAAAUAAAUGAGGUGAGAUGGAUGGUCCUCUCUCUGUCUAUAUAUAUAUCCACCUUUUCCAUCAAAAGUGUUGGACUUAAGAAUAGUGUAAGGGUAACACAUAAUAGAUGUAUAUAGAAAAGAGAGAGAUACUCAUGCAUCUCCAUUGAAGCCAUUGAAGCACUUACAUACAAGACCUUGUUGCAUUCAAACAAUCAUCACCAUGUCGUCGGGUAUGUAUUCUACUUAUCUGUGAUGAUCAUACAGUUCAAGAUCCGUGGAUUCCUGUUACUGUUCCUGUUAGCGUUCUUUUACACUGUUCCUGAUUAUAACAUAUAGUGUUAUUAGGACGUGGUUCUUUUAUUGAUUCUUACAUGAUUCCUUUUAAUUAUCUUACAGGUGGUAUCAGAGCCAACGGUUAUAGAACGUAUGAUUGUUCCAUCAAUAUAAGUAGCAUCCAUACAUGAAUAUUAUGAUAUCUGGAAUUAUAAUCAUCAUCAAUUAGUAUUCAUCUGAUUAUUGUGUGUUUGCUGUAUGUUGCUAUAUAUGAUAUAUGAUGUGUUUGCCUGGAGAUAUUAUGNUGUUCUUCCAUACAUUUCUAUCAUCCUUCAAAUUCAUUGUUUGUAGAUUUCAAGCCCCACAACAAGAUGAAAUUAAAACAAGAACGACCCUCUAGGUAUGUUCCGUCUAGAUCACCAACUCCAUCUCCAUCCCCAUCGCCAUCUCCAUCUCCAUCCCCACCUCCAUCCCCAGUUAGNUAAUCUUAUGGAAGGAUUUAAGUACUACCCACAGGAGUAUUUAAAUCUUNACUCAUGCAUCUCCAUUGAAGCACUAACAUACAAGACCUUGUUGCAUUCAAACAAUCAUCACCAUGUCGUCGGGUAUGUAUUCUACUUAUCUGUGAUGAUCAUACAGUUCAAGAUCUGUGGAUUCCUGUUACUGUUCCU
rnacentral:lncRNA from 1 species